GUGCCAGCCGCCGCGGUAAUACGUAGGGGGCAAGCGUUGUCCGGAUUUAUUGGGCGUAAAGAGCGUGUAGGCGGCCAUGCAGGUCCGCUGUGAAAACUGGAGGCUUAACCUCCAGCGGUCGGUGGAAACCGCAUGGCUAGAGUCCGGAAGAGGAGAGUGGAAUUCCCGGUGUAGCGGUGAAAUGCGCAGAUAUCGGGAAGAACACCCGUGGCGAAGGCGGCUCUCUGGGACGGUACUGACGCUGAGACGCGAAAGCGUGGGGAGCGAACAGGAUUAGAAACCCUAGUAGUCC
rnacentral:rRNA from 1 species